AGAGUUUGAUUAUGGCUCAGAACGAACGCUGGCGGCGCGUCUUAAGCAUGCAAGUCGAGCGGCAAGCUGCCUUCGGGCAGCCUAGAGCGGCGGACUGGUGAGUAACGCGUGGAUGACGCACCCUCGCGACGGGGAUAGCCUGUGGAAAACACAGGGUAAUACCGGAUAAGCCGGGCAUUGUUGGAGGAUGUCCGGGAAAGGGGCUAUUGCCCCGCGGGAGGAGCGGUCCGCGUCCCAUCAGCUGGUAGGCGGUGUAACGGACCACCUAGGCGAUGACGGGUACCCGGCCUGAGAGGGCGGACGGCACAUUGGGACUGAGAUACGGCCCAGACUCCUACGGGAGGCAGCAGCUAAGAAUAUUCCGCAAUGGGCGAAAGCCUGACGGAGCGACGCCGCGUGGACGAUGAAAGGCCGGAAGGUUGCAGAGUCCUUUGGCGCGCGAGGAAGGAGGGGAGGAAUGGAAAGCCUCCCCGGUGACUGUAGCGCGAGAACAAGCACCGGCUAAUUACGUGCCAGCAGCGGC
rnacentral:rRNA from 1 species